GGAACAAUGACACUGGAGAUGCGCGUCCACGAGAGGACUCCAUGUUUUUCUUUCAGUCUUUGAAUGAAUACAACGUUGUCUGGUUGGAAUAUUAUCGCUACUUUACGAGAAAAAUCGCAUAAAAAUUGAUUUUAAACAGCGUUUGACAUGCUUCGAAGUACGGUAAUGGAAUAUUUUGCAUUUUUUUGUCACGAAAUGCGCUCGCGCGUCACCCUUCGGAUUGUGACCUGAACGCACGAACAAAACGGAGCUAUUUCAAUAUAACUAUGGAUUAUUUGGAACCAAAACAACAUUUGUUGUUGAAGUAUAAGUCCUGGGAGUGCAUUCUGACGAAGAACAGCAAAGGCACAGGGGAAUCUCCAAAGUCAAAGAAUAUCUUGCCAGUAGCGCUGUGGAACAUCCAUGUUCACUUCUGCCAACUUCAGACAUGCAGCAAUGUUUUUUUUGGAUAGCAGUGGAUUCUUCUGUGGUGUCCUCCCAUGAACACCAUCCGUUUUUAUAUUUUUUUACCCCCAUUUCUCU
rnacentral:lncRNA from 1 species